rnacentral:lncRNA from 1 species
AUUAAUCAAUUAAUCAAUCGGUCGACACAAAUUUUGUCAAGUCUAAAUGUUUUUUUUUUGUCCAAAAGAGUUUUGGGAGGUUGCCCGACGGCGGGGAAAGGAAGAGUUUUACUCGGUGUGGCCACUCACUUAAUUCGCACGUGUCUUUCUCAGCUUCUGAAUUCUGAGAGGAUGCUAGUGGAAGAAGGAACUAAGAAGCCCCUUCAGCUAAUUAUUGAUUUGUUGAUGAAAAUAAAUCUGUUGAGGUGAUACAGACAAAAUGAUUUUAAUUUACUCCUACUUUUCUUCCGAUUUGAUUGUUCUCACUUUAGCCGAACCCACCGGUUCCGCUUCUCAAUUUUGCAGAUGACGAAUGUCAAUUCUAAUGGCCGUGAAGCAGUUUUUGAUCCUUUUCCAAUAACUAUGUUAUCGAUUGCUGAGAAUCUUUGCAUAACUGUUGAUAUGAGGAUUUAAUCUUGGUUCAUUGCCUGUCAAUUUUAGAAAAUUAGAAAAAUGUUUAAACAAGUUGCACUGCGUCGCUGUUCUUGUUUUUUGGCUUAUUCGUCCGAUUUUCUGCAAAUUAUUAUUGAGCAUUAGUAAUUGUUAUUAUUCGAUCAAUUAGUUUGCUAAUCUUAUUGAGCAGUGGUUCUUUUGUAUUUUUUCACCGUUUUCCUGCAUUUCUUAAAUGGUUCAGAUAGAUUGAAUCAUGCAGUAACUAGAAACUUGACGAUUAGUUUCUUUGAUCGAUUCUAGUUCCAGGUGAAUUGUGAUAUUGUAAGGUAUAGUUGCUAGGGAGGCUCAAUCCCACUGAUAAAACGCUAUGAACAAAAAUACUGAAAUUCAUAUUUUUCUUUACUUGACUUUCUGUCUACUCUAAGAGCAGGAGACAUUUUAUUUCUUAGAUUCAAAAUCAUUAAUGCAUUUACCUUACCUACCAUUAUAUGCAGAUUGUGGUCCUAAAGUUGGACAAGUCUCUGCAUCCACUAAAGGCGGAAUGCUAUGCGUUAUUCUUUUUUACCUUGAGGCAUGAGGCGAAAGAUCAAUUGCUUGUUUGUAAUCUUAUCUCUCAACCACUUACCAUGGUGUUAAAUCAGAAUCUCUGUAAUGGAUUCUUGGGCCCUAUCUAUGGUGCUUGACCAUUCGACCUUUAAAGUGAGUUUUCUGGGGUGUGUGGUUGUUGCGUACGGUAAUUGAUGAACUAAAUCAAUGUGCAGGAAUACAUAGCGGCUGCUUUUUGAAUUACUUCUUCAGCAUAUAUUCCUAUGUGAGGUUAACAUGUAGUUGGUGGUGUGACUUUGUUGCUCCAUUGUAUGUAAGUAUCUCUUGCAUCAUUUGUUUAUCAAAUACUUUUAUCCGGUAAUAUAUUUGUAUUUGUUGGUGUUUUUAGUUGUGUUUGGAUCGGGAUGUGGGUACCGUUUCAUAUGUGAGGGAUGGUGUCAAGCUAUACUAAUUUGCUUAUCAUUGUACAUUUCUACAAAGCUUCUGUACUAAUUAAUUAUGAGAGUAUUCCUCCAGCUAGUAUAUUUGUGGUGCAAAUGCGCGUUCUAUUUAUGCAAUAUUUUUACUCUUUUUAGGCUAUAUUUUCUACUAUUAUUGAGUUCUUAUUAUAUUAAGACUUCUUUUUGCUUAGUUUUCGUGUGGAAUAAUGAUGUUUCAUGUCGAGAGAGAGUUAUUAUUGCUAAAAAUGUAAUAAAUAGAGAGGUGUAGACUAAUCUGCUAGUGGGUGGAUGGCCAUCUUAGUAUUUUGUCACCAUCAUUUUUAGAAUCCUUUGAGUGCAUUUUGCUUUUGCUCUUAUUGCUUCAGCAGAUAAGGCGAAACUAGAAUCUAUGUGAGAUGUGGCGAUGGCCGACGCACUAUGAGGUACCCCACAAGGUGUUCUGCCCCUCUUUACUUUCUAAUUUGUUACAAAAGUUAUAUUAAUGACAUACAUAUUGAGUCAAGUUUCUUUAUCUCAAACUGGGUUUAAUAUUAGUUUAGCAUGAAUACAAGCUAAGUCAAUAAUAGGAAUGUCAUUCAUACACAAUACUUGAACAGUGUACUUGUGAUGUUAGAGCGGUACAAUUGAUUAUGUGUUGGAUGAUGUUGGAGUAACACGUGUGACAAAAUUGAAUGUUACAAUUAAACGUUGCUACUAGGACUAAUACUAAUAUUUUGGUUUGUCAGGAGGUCUUUGUUGGCAUGAAGCUCAUGCAGAUUGGAGGAUUGACCUUGGCUAGAGCAAGAAUGGAGGAAGGAAGAAUCCACAAUCCAUCCCCACAAAUUAGACCCGAGGCAACGGCUGGGAUCAUGAGGCCAGCCUUCGUUUUAUCAAUCCUAUGCCAAAGAUACACAAUCAAGCUCCCAACACACAUAUCAAUUGCAAAGUAACCCCCCACAAGAAAAGGUACCGCCAUUGCCAUAGGCAGAGGAACCCAUUUCCCCAACUUCUCCGGCAUAGUGUCUCUCAACAA